GGGCGGCCACCCUAGCUGGCUUCGCUGGAACCGCCACCGCCGGGAAGGAGUGGUUGGUUUAUUUUCAAAUUUGGUCCAUCUACCGUCGUUCAGUUGCUUUGGCUGUUGGCUUGGGUCAGUUGGGUGUUGGGCCUCUAUUUUUUUUUUAAAUCAGGCCCAAUUAUAGAAGCCCAAAUGAGUUUUCUCCAUAUUGAUAUACCCAACAAGUUCAACCCAGCGAGUUAGAGAUAGAGCCCCAGAUUUUUCCCUAAAUCGGCACCACGCACGCCUGCACGCACCAGUCUACCUCUACCCAUCUGGCAACUACCGCCACUAUCGCAAAGGGCAAACGCUCAUAGGUUGCAGCAGCCAGCAGACGAUACUGCCACCGUGAGAGUCGAAAGGAGCAGGCGAGCGUCGGGCAGCACUCUAGUCUAAGCGUCCAGCAGGCAGCCUGCACUCAGUCUCCGCACCGCAGCCAGAAAGCUUUCCUUCUCGUGUCAAACUACCGAUUUUGAGGUUAAGCAAUUAGCAAACCCUUUGUGAAUUGUCACUUGUGAGUUCCUGUUCUUCCCCAGUUCCCCAAUUCCUUCUCGGCACAGUGUCAGUAUUCGGUCCUAAAUUUAAUGUCUAACUUGAUACAAUGAUAUUAAUUUGUAAAUUUGAGGAUAUGGGUUUUGAGUUUUGAACUGGAUAUCUGAAUCGGAGAAGGGAGAGCAAUUCUCAAUUUCUCAUCUUAAAGUUGAAUCACUUAUUUAUUAGUCGUUACUUCAAAAAUCAAGAAUUACACUAUUAGAGCAUAAACACCAUCUGUUAGAGGCUAUUACGGGAUGGAAGGAUCUACGAAUAAGUUGUAAUUUAGGAUAAUUCGCUGGUGAUUUCUGUGCUUUAUUUCGAAAGCCGAA
rnacentral:lncRNA from 1 species